GACGAGGGGUCCUAGCGUUGUUCGGAAUCACUGGGCGUAAAGCGCGUGUAGGCGGCUAGGUAAGUCUGCUCUGAAAGCCCGGGGCUCAACCCCGGGAGGCGGGUGGAUACUGUCUAGCUCGAGUCCGGAAGAGGAGUGUGGAAUUCCUGGUGUAGCGGUGAAAUGCGCAGAUAUCAGGAGGAACACCAAUGGCGAAGGCAGCACUCUGGGACGUGACUGACGCUGAGACGCGAAAGCGUGGGGAGCAAACAGG
rnacentral:rRNA from 1 species